rnacentral:rRNA from 1 species
UACGGGGGGGGCAAGCGUUGUUCGGAAUUACUGGGCGUAAAGGGCUCGUAGGCGGCCAACUAAGUCAGACGUGAAAUCCCUCGGCUUAACCGGGGAACUGCAUCUGAUACUGGAUGGCUUGAGUUCGGGAGAGGGAUGCGGAAUUCCAGGUGUAGCGGUGAAAUGCGUAGAUAUCGGGAGGAACACCAGUGGCGAAGGCGGCCCGCUGGGCAGUGGCUGACGCUGAGGCGCGACAGUGUGGGGAGCAAACAGG